CCGGCAGUCAGUGGUCUUAGGUUCAUGUAUUGCUUUUCUUUUUUUUAAAGAAAGCAACUUGUUUUUGGGGAAGACGGCUUGAAGCCGUCAAUCCCCAAUGGGGUUGACCAGAGUGACAUUCCCUCACAUCAUUCAUUUUGUUUUUAUAGUGUGGAAAACCCCCCAACAAAUCUUACUAAGAAUGAUGAGAUGGGGAGACACAAAUGAAUAAAUUGACUUUAAACACUUUUUUUACACAUUUCCCUUCUGUUUCUCUCGAAAUUAUCGUAUAUCGAGCUCUCCUUUACACUAUUUACGUUUCUUUUACAAUCCUGAAAAAUCAGUAUGACGAGAUAUCCUAAAUAUAUCCAACCUUCAUUAUAUUUUAUAGUGACGUCAUUGUUGGAAUGCCACACUACGCAUAAGCAGGGAUAUCCUUCACUGGUUAUUUAAAUCAUUCUCAAAGAUUGUGCACUUAUUAAAAAAUAGUAUUUGUUGAAAUUAAACAUAAUGAUGUUUGCUGUAGAUGAUUUAAACAUCAACAUGCAAUACUUUAAUUUGUAGGUCAACAACUUUCAAAGUAAACAGGAAGUCCGAGGGGCUACAUGAGAUCAGGGAGAGAAACGAUCUUUUCCAUUUUUUUCUGUAAAACUCUGUUUUGAGAAUCUUCCUCCAAUUCAGGAGCACCUCAAUUUAUGAGCUAAUUAUCCACUAAAAUAAACCCUUAAAAUGUGACAUUUAGUAUAUGAUAAGUAGUCUUUCAUUAAAACUAAAUUUUGUGUACCAACAU
rnacentral:lncRNA from 1 species